rnacentral:rRNA from 1 species
GAUGAACGCUAGCGGCAGGCUUAAUACAUGCAAGUCGAGGGGCAGCAUGAUUGUAGCAAUACAAUUGAUGGCGACCGGCAAACGGGUGCGGAACACGUACACAACCUUCCAAUAAGUGGGGAAUAGCCCAGAGAAAUUUGGAUUAAUACCCCGUAACAUAACGAUGUGGCAUCACAUUGUUAUUAUAGAUUUUUCGCUUAUUGAUGGGUGUGCGUCUGAUUAGAUAGUUGUCGGGGUAACCGCCCACCAAGUCGACGAUCAGUAUCUGAUUUGAGAGCAUGAUCAGCCACACGGGAACUGAGACACUGGCCCAACGCCUACGCGAGGCAGCAGUAAGGAAUAUUGGACAAUGGCCGCGAUUCUUAUCCAGCCAUGCCGCGUGAAGGAUUAAGGUCCUCUGGAUUGUAAACUUCUUUUAUAAGGGACGAAAAAAGGCUUUUCUAAGUCGUCUGACGGUACCUUAUGAAUAAGAACCGGCUAACUCCGUGCCAGCCGCCGCCGUAAUAC